AUGUUUAUGUUCUUUUUUACAAAUAUAUGUGCAGUUUGUUGUAAAUCCAUCUAUGGUUCACUUUGUGAAAAAGAGAGAGAAAAUAAAUACAUCGAUAUUGUAGUGCGAUUUUGGUUGCGUGGCGGUGCAUUUUUAGUGGUUAUGCAGUGCCGGGUGCACACACAUGCACUCCGUUUAAACAUCAAUUUUCUUGCGAACACACCUCAAUUGUAUGUCAGUGUGCCCCUUAGUGGUUCACUUUGUAAAAAAAAUCCCCGUGGGAGGUUCACUUCUUUUUCUGAUGCAAUUUGUUUUGUUUGUGGGACGAUUGAAAAAGGUAGUUCAAUCCAUUUGUGUAGCAGAUCAUUACCCCUCUCUAUGAAGUGCAAUUUGUUUCGUGUGUCUCAAAAUUCAGUGGACCACAUCAACACUUGCAGUGUGUUUGAUCCUCGAAUGUGGUUCACUUUUCAGAGUGAUGUUGUUUGCUCGCCGCAACAUGAAAGUGCGAAAAAAUUAAGCGAACCAAUAAGAUAG
rnacentral:rRNA from 1 species